rnacentral:rRNA from 1 species
UCUGGUUACUGCGAUGGAGGGACGGAGAAGGCUAGGCCAGCUUGGCGUUGGUUGUCCAAGUUUAAGGUGGUAGGCUGAAAUCUUAGGUAAAUCCGGGGUUUCAAGGCCGAGAGCUGAUGACGAGUCGUCUUUUAGAUGACGAAGUGGUUGAUGCCAUGCUUCCAAGAAAAGCUUCUAAGCUUCAGGUAACCAGGAACCGUACCCCAAACCGACACAGGUGGUCGGGUAGAGAAUACCAAGGCGCUUGAGAGAACUCGGGUGAAGGAACUAGGCAAAAUGGCACCGUAACUUCGGGAGAAGGUGCGCCGGCUAGGGUGAAGGAUUUACUCCGUAAGCUCUGGCUGGUCGAAGAUACCAGGCCGCUGCGACUGUUUAUUAAAAACACAGCACUCUGCAAACACGAAAGUGGACGUAUAGGGUGUGACGCCUCCCCGGUGCCGGAAGGUUAAUUGAUGGGGUUAGCGCAAGCGAAGCUCUUGAUCGAAGCCCCGGUAAACGGCGGCCGUAACGAUAACGGUCCUAAGGUAGCGAAAUUCCUUGUCGGGUAAGUUCCGACCUGCACGAAUGGCGUAACGAUGGCGGCGCUGUCUCCACCCGAGACUCAGUGAAAUUGAAAUCGCUGUGAAGAUGCAGUGUAUCCGCGGCUAGACGGAAAGACCCCGUGAACCUUUACUGUAGCUUUGCACUGGACUUUGAGCCUGCUUGUGUAGGAUAGGUGGGAGGCUUUGAAGCGUGGACGCCAGUUCGCGUGGAGCCAUCCUUGAAAUACCACCCUGGCAUGCUUGAGGUUCUAACUCUGGUCCGUAAUCCGGAUCGAGGACAGUGUAUGGUGGGCAGUUUGACUGGGGCGGUCUCCUCCUAAAGAGUAACGGAGGAGUACGAAGGUGCGCUCAGACCGGUCGGAAAUCGGUCGCAGAGUAUAAAGGCAAAAGCGCGCUUGACUGCGAGACAGACACGUCGAGCAGGUACGAAAGUAGGUCUUAGUGAUCCGGUGGUUCUGUAUGGAAGGGCCAUCGCUCAACGGAUAAAAGGUACUCCGGGGAUAACAGGCUGAUACCGCCCAAGAGUUCAUAUCGACGGCGGUGUUUGGCACCUCGAUGUCGGCUCAUCACAUCCUGGGGCUGAAGCCGGUCCCAAGGGUAUGGCUGUUCGCCAUUUAAAGUGGUACGCGAGCUGGGUUUAGAACGUCGUGAGACAGUUCGGUCCCUAUCUGCCGUGGACGUUUGAGAUUUGAGAGGGGCUGCUCCUAGUACGAGAGGACCGGAGUGGACGAACCUCUGGUGUUCCGGUUGUCACGCCAGUGGCAUUGCCGGGUAGCUAUGUUCGGAAAAGAUAACCGCUGAAAGCAUCUAAGCGGGAAACUUGCCUCAAGAUGAGAUCUCACUGGGAACUUGAUUCCCCUGAAGGGCCGUCGAAGACUACGACGUUGAUAGGCUGGGUGUGUAAGCGUUGUGAGGCGUUGAGCUAACCAGUACUAAUUGCCCGUGAGGCUUGACU